AGAAACAGGACUGCUUGCUGUGAAAGAGGAUAUUCAAGGUCAGAAGAACAGGAGACCCAGAAGCCAGAAUACCAAGUAACUGUUAGUGAGAAAAUCCACCAAAGGAGUCUUUAGGUAGAGGCUCUGAACGGCCCCCCACCAACGACAAGGACCUGCACUGUACUUGAAUGCUUCGCCUGCUUGUUCUUUUUGCCUCGGCAACAUAGACUCUUCACUGACUUGAUUUCCAUUGCUUGCCAAGUCCACCCAAAUUCACUGCCCUAGGUGAGAGAACUGAGACCCACAAGGUCACAUACCUGUGACAAAUCUACACUGGGAAUCAAGUCUCUGGACUCUCAGUGAGUGCUCUUUUUCCCUCAUGUGAUGCUGUUUCCUAUCAAAGGGACCAAGACUUAGAGAAGGGCACCACUUCCUGCAGCUGAAGCCAUUCACAGAGUGAUUCACAAGCUCUGGGACCAACAUGUUCCUAAUCAAAGAGGAAAUUGACAAAACAACACUUCAGGGGUUCAGUUGAUGGUCUUCCCUGCUCCAACUGUGAGGGACAGAAAAUGUUAGUUAUCCUCAACUUUCAUUCUCUCUUCUUUCUUUCAAUUUCAAAGCCACCCAACCCAGUUGUCACCAGGCUUCUGGCUCACCCAAUGUCUCCUUGUGUUUGUGCUUUCUUUCUGCUUCUAAGCUCUGUGGUGCUGUUCUCCUCCUCCUUUCGAGGACGAUUGUGCCCUUGAUGGAGCUCCCUGAUGACAGCUAUUUACCCGAACUGCUUCCUGUUGCCCGUACUAGCUUUCCCAGACCUGAGUCUGUUAUUGUUACUAAAUACUAAUAUGCUGGUUUAGUCUCUGAUUCCAGAUCUCUCUUGCUGUGCUCUAUCCUGCUGUUUCUAACACUUCUCACACCGUUUCACGUAUAUACCACUUUAACCAUACCCUGAUUUUUAUGACCAAUUAUUUAUCUAUGUGUUCUGGAUCAAAGUCAAUUCCCCUGCCUUUUCCUCCCCCAAUACCUAUUAAUCACAACUCUCUCUUUGUCCUUUUCCCCCAGUGCCCUUUUCUUGUCACCCAUCAAAGUUGAGGCUUUCUUCCAAGAAUGCGAGCUCCAUAGGGCCAGAAACCAUGUAUCCCUGAUACUUAGGAUUGUAAGCGCUUAGUACCUAUUGGUCUAAAAACAAUUUGUUGUAAGUGA